rnacentral:misc_RNA from 1 species
GAAAUGCGAUAAGUAAUGUGAAUUGCAGAAUUCAGUGAAUCAUCGAAUCUUUGAACGCACAUUGCGCCCGCCAGUAUUCUGGCGGGCAUGCCUGUCCGAGCGUCAUUUCAACCAUCAUGCCCCCGGGCUUGUGUUGGGGACCUGCGGCUGCCCGCAGGCCCUGAAAACCAGUGGCGGGCUCGCUGUCACACCGAGCGUAGUAGCAAUCACCUCGCUCAGGGCGUGCUGCGGGUUCCGGCCGUUAAACAGCCUUACAAAACCCAAGGUUGACCUCGGAUCAGGUAGGAAGACCCGCUGAACUUAAGC